GCAUUGUGUGUUAAUUCUUGGUGUAUCAUUCAUGAACACAGCUAUUGCACAGGAUUUUCGAGCAGUUCUUUUGCUGACACCGGUAUGGAAUUUGCAUAGCGGGCGUCCUAUCUUGCUACAGUCUUUAAUGUCGUCUUUGGAAAGUUCCAAAAAUGUUUCGAGAUCUCCUGACACAGCAAGGUUGAUAAUCUGGAAGAGCUUGUACUGCUGAGCGUGGUCAAAAAUAGGAACAUGUAUGAAGAGGCGAAAGGAAUUUUCCAUGGCUGCAACCGAGACAGUAGACUCUCGCUGGAGAGAUUAUUUGAGGGGCCAAAUGCCCGUUGGCUAGAAGACUAAAGCCGACGUCGAGACUAUCAGCAA